GAUGAACGCUGGCGGCGUGCCUAAUACAUGCAAGUCGAGCGAACAGACGAGGAGCUUGCUCCUCUGACGUUAGCGGCGGACGGGUGAGUAACACGUGGAUAACCUACCUAUAAGACUGGGAUAACUUCGGGAAACCGGAGCUAAUACCGGAUAAUAUAUUGAACCGCAUGGUUCAAUAGUGAAAGACGGUUUUGCUGUCACUUAUAGAUGGAUCCGCGCCGCAUUAGCUAGUUGGUAAGGUAACGGCUUACCAAGGCAACGAUGCGUAGCCGACCUGAGAGGGGGAUAGGCCACACUGGAACGGAGAAACGGUCAAGACUCCUACGGGAGGAAGCAGUAGGGAAUCUUCCGCAAGGGGCGAAAGCCUGACGGAGCAACGCCGCGUGAGUGAUGAAGGUCUUCGGAUCGUAAAACUCUGUUAUUAGGGAAGAACAAAUGUGUAAGUAACUAUGCACGUCUUGACGGUACCUAAUCAGAAAGCCACGGCUAACUACGUG
rnacentral:rRNA from 1 species